AGAAUGAACGCUGGCGGCAUGCCUAACACAUGCAAGUCGAACGAAGGCUUCGGCCUUAGUGGCGCACGGGUGCGUAACGCGUGGGAAUCUGCCCCUCGGUUCGGAAUAACAGUUGGAAACGACUGCUAAUACCGGAUGAUGACGUAAGUCCAAAGAUUUAUCGCCGAGGGAUGAGCCCGCGUAGGAUUAGCUAGUUGGUGUGGUAAAAGCGCACCAAGGCGACGAUCCUUAGCUGGUCUGAGAGGAUGAUCAGCCACACUGGGACUGAGACACGGCCCAGACUCCUACGGGAGGCAGCAGUGGGGAAUAUUGGACAAUGGGCGAAAGCCUGAUCCAGCAAUGCCGCGUGAGUGAUGAAGGCCUUAGGGUUGUAAAGCUCUUUUACCCGGGAUGAUAAUGACAGUACCGGAGAAUAAGCUCCGGCUAACUCCGCGCCAGCAGCCGC
rnacentral:rRNA from 1 species